GAUGGACGCUGGCGGCGUGCCUAAUACAUGCAAGUCGAGCGAACAGACGAGGAGCUUGCUCCUCUGACGUUAGCGGCGGACGGGCGAGUAACACGUGGAUAACCUACCUAUAAGACUGGGAUAACUUCGGGAAACCGGAGCUAAUACCGGAUAAUAUAUUGAACCGCAUGGUUCAAUAGUGAAAGACGGUUUUGCUGUCACUUAUAGAUGGAUCCGCGCCGCAUUAGCUAGUUGGUAAGGUAACGGCUUACCAAGGCAACGAUGCGUAGCCGACCUGAGAGGGUGAUCGGCCACACUGGAACUGAGACACGGUCCAGACUCCUACGGGAGGCAGCAGUAGGGAAUCUUCCGCAAUGGGCGAAAGCCUGACGGAGCAACGCCGCGUGAGUGAUGAAGGUCUUCGGAUCGUAAAACUCUGUUAUUAGGGAAGAACAAAUGUGUAAGUAACUAUGCACGUCUUGACGGUACCUAAUCAGAAAGCCACGGCUAACUACGUG
rnacentral:rRNA from 1 species